rnacentral:rRNA from 1 species
GGAGGCAUGUGGUUUAAUUCGAAGCAACGCGAAGAACCUUACCAGGUCUUGACAUACUCGUGCUAUUCCUAGAGAUAGGAAGUUCCUUCGGGACACGGGAUACAGGUGGUGCAUGGUUGUCGUCAGCUCGUGUCGUGAGAUGUUGGGUUAAGUCCCGCAACGAGCGCAACCCUUGUCACUAGUUGCCAUCAUUUGGUUGGGCACUCUAGUGAGACUGCCGGUGACAAACCGGAGGAAGGUGGGGAUGACGUCAAGUCCUCAUGGCCCUUAUGGGUAGGGCUUCACACGUCAUACAAUGGUCGGUACGGAGGGUUGCCAAGCCGCGAGGUGGAGCCAAUCCCUUAAAGCCGAUCGUAGUCCGGAUCGUAGUCUGCAACUCGACUACGUGAAGUCGGAAUCGCUAGUAAUCGCAGAUCAGCAUGCUGCGGUGAAUACGUUCCCGGGUCUU